UACGGGGGGGGCAAGCGUUGUUCGGAAUUACUGGGCGUAAAGGGCUCGUAGGUGGCCAACUAAGUCAGACGUGAAAUCCCUCAGCUUAACUGGGGAACUGCGUCUGAUACUGGAUGGCUUGAGUUUGGGAGAGGGAUGCGGAAUUCCAGGUGUAGCGGUGAAAUGCGUAGAUAUCUGGAGGAACACCGGUGGCGAAGGCGGCAUCCUGGACCGGCAUUGACGCUGAGGCGCGAAAGCCAGGGGAGCAAACGGG
rnacentral:rRNA from 1 species